GAAAUUGAUCAGAGGCCAGACAAGAAAUUCAGGCAAGGCUUUACUGGGACUCAUGCUGCAGCAGGAGGGAGAGAAAACAAGUAACAGUUUCCCUUGCUCACUCGCUGAGGGGGAGUGGCCUCUCACUGUUGUGGCCCCUCCGGCUGUGGAGCACGGGCUCCGGAUGCGCAGGCUCAGCGGCCAUGGCUCACGGGCCUAGCCGCUCAGCGGCACGUGGGAUCGGGGCACGAACCCGCGUCCCCUGCAUCGUCAGGCGGACUCUCAACCACUGUGCCACCAGGGAAGCCCCUUCCUAAGUUUUGUACACUCCUAUUUGCAGUUGCCAGCGUCUUUUGAACACUCUUCUGACGUUUGCGGAAUUUCCUCCAUUUUGAGGCCUGCUUCCUAAGGCACAAGCCAGAACUUAGCCUCCGAGAUGGAGAUGGUGAGUUAGUGGGUGGUAAUCCUGUGUCAUCAUCACACCAAUGUCUCUAGACCCUGGCAAGAGUCCAAGUUCCCCUUCGUCUCUCAGCAGGGCAGGGCCAGGCCGGAGGAAAUGCUCGAUCACUGUUCUUGACCGCACGCUCCUGGAGGGCCAGGCCUCAUGUUCAGCGGGAGGGAUAGUGUUGAGGCCGGGAUGUAGAUGCAGGCCACUGUUCCCUCACUAUGUUAAGUGGCAAAGCGGGUAGGGGACAAUUCCAUCCACUACUGUCCGGGGGAGCUCCCUCAGGGGCGGUCAUGUUCUUGGCUGGAACUCAGAGAACCAGGGCAGCAGGCUGGGCGAAGGCCUCCACAGGUCAGGGCAGUGUUCCCAGGGAUCACAGGCGUCCAGGAGGUGGCAGGGCAAUGGGUUUCUCACAGUGUGACCCAGUGGGUGAGGAGCCAGUUGGUGACGUGAAUGCGUACAGUCUCCUGGAUGACGUAAAUUCUCGGUCAAAGCUGCCUGCACUGUCUCAACAAGGGCGUGGCUGCCGGACGGUGCCUCAGUCCCCAGGCUCCCUGACGCUCCAGAACACAGAAGCCUUGGCUCUGUGGUGGCUUCCGGCUCCUGUGUGGUGGAGAAUGGAGCGAAAGCCCUGGAAAAGGAAGUCAACUGAGAGGACGAACUGAAAUCUCUUGUGCACAGGCAGGAAGGAGGGCGCUGCAGAACAGUUAAGAUACGAGAACAUAAACAUCUAGGUGUGCAAGGGAGGGUCUGGGAACAGAGAGGAGGUCCCCGGCCCUGCGUCUGAAGCGUGCCCGAAGCCAGUCGGGAGGGCGAAUUGUGCCGCGCUCCCUGCACGUGGCGCCGCAGUAUAGACACGGAUCGCUACAACACUCCCUGCCCGUGUGACUUGUUGAGAAGAAAAGCGGCCCAUAGGGACGGGCGUCCAAGAACUCUGCUGCUGCCCAUGCAACUCAUUCCUUGAAGUUUAUUCUACCUGGAAUGAAACAAACCAAAAAACAAACUAAACGCCACUCUCCGGGCUCCGUCCCAGCACCGCCACCACUCCCGGGCGCCUCCUAAAACGUGCUGCUAGGAAUCCAGAGGUUUACGAGCGUGUUUGUUUCCCGCGCCCGCGCACCUCGAAACCGAAAGUAGAGCGGCUGGGCCCGAGUUCCGCCUAAGCGACCGGAGGGUCGCCGCCGCCGCCGCCUCCGCCGCCGCCGCCGCCGAAAGCGCGCCGAGCUCGGCUGCAGUUGCCCUGGCGGCCGCGGCGGGCCAGGGGCAACAGUGAGCUGCGGCGGCGUCAAAAGGAGGCUCCGGCUGGCAGGCAGCUCCAUUUCGGGCUGGGAAAACUAAGGGAGCGGCGGCGAAGGGCCCCCGGCCUUCUUAAGGGCGGGCGCGAGGAGGACGGUGCAGUACGACUUGUAGGAAGAGCGAAGAGAAGAUCGUUCGCCUGCACCAGGAUGGCCGAGUGGUUAAGGCGUUGGACUUAAGAUCCAAUGGACAUAUGUCCGCGUGGGUUCGAACCCCACUCCUGGUAGAUAGUUUUCCUCUUCUCUCAUUAAAAAAUUAAUUUAUUUUUAAAAUGUAAAUUUCACCGAGCAAACCAAGUCUUGUACUCAGGAAUUCUGUCUCCUGGCUGAGAGAGGCGGAAGCCCGACAAGAAGCGGCCCCGCCUCCCACAGACCAGAGGCGACUCAGCGAGCGGGGGCGCGGGCGCUGUUCCCCGGGCCAGGACGGGCGGUGGGGUGGGCGUCGCUGCCGGUCAACGGCUUCGCGGGGCUCAGGUGGGGUUGGGACUCCGGCGGCAGCCCGCGCCGCGGGGAUCAGUUCUCUCGCUUGCAGGGAGGCAGCCAGCUGGGCAGGAAGGGCGCUUGUGAUACAGCAUCAUAGUUAGAAAAGUGCCUGUGCAGAAAAGUCAAAAGUUCAUCUCUACCUUUUCCUAGUUUUUCGCCAAAAUUAAUUGUAUGCACACAAUUCUUCCGUUAAAUCCAUGAAGGCGAAGACAGUAUGCAUCAUAGCUACAAAAUGGACUCUAAUUGGUAAUCGGCUAAGAAUUUUAAAAUACUAAUGGCGCGGUCUGCUUUUUGUUUUUUAAAUACUUUUAAAAAGUGAAAGUAAUCUAAAAUCUGGGGGGGGGGGACAUUGCAAGUACAGUGGAAAAAAAUUUUUUUUUCAAAUCAUUUGAGAGUAAGGUACCAAAUAGAUACUCCAGUACAACCGUUAAAAUCAGGGAAUUAAGGUUGAUAAUUUACUACCAUCUAAUCCCCAGGCCCCAUUUAAUCACCAGCGGUCCUUUAAAGUAAAAGUCUCCUGUUCAGAAUAAUGCAUUGCAUUGACUUGUCACAUUGCCUUAAGCUUCUGCGAUCUAGCACGAUUCCUCAGUCUCUCCUGACUUUCAUGAUCUUGAAACUUCUGAAGAUGACAGGCUCGUCUUUUUGUAGAACAUCUGUUUGUCAGUUUGGGUUUGUCUAAUGUUUCCUCUUGAUUAGAUUCAGGUUAUGCUUAUAAAUAAAGCAGGGCUAUCCUGGAAGUGACACUGUGUUUGCAUUGUAGUCUCUCAGGUGGCAUGGUUUUGGUCUGUCCUGUUACUGAUCUUAACUUAGUUCACUUGAUAAGGCUUUUCUGCCAGUUUUCUCCACUAUAGUUCACCCUUUGUGAUUAAUACAUAUUUUGAGGGGAAGUGCUCUGAAGUUAUGUAAAUAUCCCAUUCCUCAUCAAACUUUCCAUUUUAUUCAAUUAUUAUGGAAUAAGGCAUGUAAGUAUGCACCCAUGGUGUCCUAUUUUAAUUAAUGGUUACAAUCCAUUUUAUAAUUAUUACUUUUCAUGCUGAAAGUGUCCCAGAUUCGGUCAGUGGAAGUCUAUUCAAGGCUGACCUUUGACAUGUCUUCAUCAUUUUUUAGCACUCCUUACUUCCUAGUCCAAGAUAUUCCAUGCUUACCUUGUACGCCUCCUGACCCAGACAAUGUAGAAUCAGACAUUUUGAAAAGAACCCCAGUUUCCUUUAGUGGAGAAUGCUAGUUAGGAAGCAAGAUCUCAGUACUAGGUGUGCUCAUUGCUUUUGAUGUGUUACUGUUCCCAGGCCCUCUCAGUAGAGAGAAUCAGGGAGUAUAUGUGUCUGUGUGUGUGUCCACACCUAUAUUUAUCUAUAUAUAUAUAUCUAUUUAGAUUUGGGAGUUCCUACCAAUACUCUAAUUCUGAUCCAACACUGUAAAUUUUGUUCUAGUUUUUCUAUCCAUAUUUGUAAUUCUCAAAAUUGCCCCCAUCCCCUGCCCCAGUGUAACAUCUACCUUGCUUGGGCCCAUCUAAUGGAUUUAGAAUUAAAUUGUUCAAGAAGAAAGGAAGAGGAAAAGAGAGAGUGUCUAAACCGUUUAGAAAUAAGCAUCCUGCCAGCACUGAGAACUGGCUAUGCAUCAGUCGCUGUUAGACAUUUGAGAUGUGCAGAUAAAUAAGCCAGCCUCUCCUUCAAGGAGCUUAGAUGGUGAGAGACAGAGAUUUUAGUAAACCACAUUUAUAAUGAGGAAAUAUAAAUUAUGCCCAAGGUGCUAAAGGAGAAGUUCCAAAAGCCCUAACUCUUUCCCAGAGAGUCAGCUUUAGUUGAGAACUGAAGGAAGAGGGGUAGGGUUCAGGGAGAGGCAGGGAAGAGAGGGAGAGGGAUACAGGUGGGGGAAAACAUCUUGAAACCAUGCUAAGUAUGGUGCCUGGAUUCCACUGAAGGAUCCAAAACAAGAAGCAACGUGAUUAGUGUUACAUUUGAAAGUAUAUCUAUUGAUGUAGAAACUCGGUCGGUCCGUAUAUGCUCAGGACAGGGGGGCAUGUUGAAUUGGCAGAAAAUAUUUUUUAGGGGAAAAUUAUUUAAUUCAGUCAACAGCCAGUUAGACUGAGCACAGUCUGUGUCUCUCUUCCUCCUUAAAAGCUGAGCAAGGGGAAGAACAAUAUUGACUUAACAAUAAUAAAUUAAGUCCCUAAAUUGAUCUAUAAAUAAGAGUGUGGAUUUAUAAGCAUGUUUUAAGUUAUUCAAAAUGGAUUUUUUCUGCUGGACUUCAUGCAGAACUCUGUAGGAAAAAUAUUGCCAAUACAAGAACAACAUUGAUUUCAACAACAUUGAAGCUUUCCCAGUCUGAACGCAGGGACUCUUGCUAAUUUAUUUGUAUUAAUAUGUUCAAGUGCAAAUACAGAACAAUACUUCCAAGAAUAGGCAGAGUAGUUAGAUUUUUACUUUGUUCCUUUAAAACUAUAUUGUAAAUCAAGCUUCUAGUCAGUAAUAACCAGCUACUGUGCUAUAACAGAAAUGGUAAAAGACCAGCUAAUAUUCUUGUGCUUGUUAAAAUUCUGACACACAGAUCACUGAGAUGCCACAAAGAGGGGUGAAAUGAUGUCUGAAAGCUGCUGGUCUGGAAACAAGAAAAUCUAUCAGAUGGAUACUAGGGCACUGAAUCACAAGUUUUUGAUUGAUCAAUAUGUAUGGACUAUUUAACUGCAAUCUUCACAUGCCAAUUUAGAUGGAAUCUUUUGCUUUACUAUAUCCUACUCUAUAAAAUGUUCUAUCAUUGAUUUCCUCUGACUAGCAGGAUUCUGUAAGUUAAUUUCAAUUUAGUGCAGCAAACUUUAAGAAUAUGAUUCAGUUUACAAAGUACAUAUCACAAGGUCACUCAGUAGGAAGAACCCAGGCUUUGGGGUCAGACAGACUUAUCAACUUUCCCAGGUUAUCAGCCUUCUUUCUUCAUUUGCAAAUAGGAAAAUAAAAUUUACUUCCACAAGUGGUUGUGAGGCUGUAAUACUCUUCUCACAAAGGUGAGUGUUUCGUAACUGAGUUUGCUUCCCUUUUCAGGAGCCAUCGUUUGUGGGAAGUACAGUAGAACUACACUGUGCAAGUAGGAAGAAAUCUUACCUUGCAUGUAUAGACCACUUUGCAGUUUUCCAAAACACUUAUACAUUCAUAUCCUCCUUUGACAGACAAUAUCAUACACCCAAACCCAUUGUACCUAGGUGGUAGAUACAAUUAGGCACAAUUUUCCUUAAUAAAUUUAAAGAGUAAUGUUUUCUUUCAUCCAAAAUUACAUAGAUAGAGCUAGAGGAUAUCAGUAGUUCUUAAAAAUGGAAACCCUGUCCUAAAAUGUAGCAGAAUUUUUUCUUUUCCUUGAGAAGUAGACCUGUUAUAUUAGACCCUUUUUUUUCAUUCUUAAAAUAUUUUGAAUUUAAAUUUGAAUCAUUUGUAGGUAUACCACCACUAAGCUUAGAAUGAUUUUCCAAUGAUUAUUUUAACAAUAAUAAAUUAAGUUCCUAAAUUGAUCUAUAAAUAAGUGUGGAUUUAUAAGCUUAUUUUAAGUUAUUCAAAAUGGAUUUUUUCUGUUGGAUUUCAUGCGGAACUCUGUAGGAAAAGUAUUGCCAAUACAUAUAAAUAGUGACACCUACUGGUUAAAUUGAGGCCAAUUUGUUUGCUAAAUUCUGUCUGCCUUAUUCUGACUGUAAAAUCCUGAUGGCUCUUCCACAGUUACUGUGUUUAGGAGCACAUUAAGGCUAUGUGUAAUCCAGCCAGUAAAUUAACCUUUGUUUUCUCUCUUUCAGUCAUUAAUGAUAAAUCUGCCAUUGAAAAGAAUCUCAAAUCACUGACAGCACUUGCAUGAGCUGUUAUUUUAAUUGUAUGCAUAGGGCUUUUAUCUCAUAGCCAUCAUCUUUGUUUCUUUCAAUAUAAUAUAGUUUAUUCAAACUCCAAAACUCACUAUGAAGUUGAAGAGAAAUAGGGAUUUGGAUUAGUCAUCAGCUUUACAGAAGUCAUGUCCAAUUUUAGAAAUCUUGAACAAGAAGCUUUCUUUGUCCUUAGUAGCAAGUUGGAAUUUGGGGAUCUUAAUUAUUCCCUUUGUUUCACAUUUUGCUUUUAAAUACAAUUGCAGCUAUUUAAUGAACAAAUUAAUUGCAUGUCACACAUUUGCUAAUUGUUCAAAUGAUAUAAAUGAUAAUGCCUCAAGUUUUAAUGAGUGUGUUCAGUUACAAAGAUGCCAUGUAAGAAUCAGGGACAUAAUUCCAGGUCCCUUGCAUCCACUCUAUUACUGGAUAGAGAUGCAUUGUGAACCACCCGGUUCAUUUGUGAACCACCUGGUUUCAUUUUUAUCCACACAGGUUUUGAUGUCUCUGAACAACUUAUCAGAGUGCUUGGCAGAGAAGCAAUGAUUGCACUGGGUCCUUACUGAAGUGAGAUGGAAACUGCCUAGCAGAAUGUCUCUAUACAUUGUAUGCACUAUAUAAAUACUUGUUGAAUAAAUGAACAACGUUGAAGUCCACUGAGUAUAUUUCACAGUUCAUUCUAUUUAUUGUACACAUGUUAAUCUUCAUUUAGGAUAUGUGUUUUAAAAUGUACUCAGGAUUUGUUUUACUCAGGUAUGGUAAGACACUCAGAUACAGAAAUGACUGUCAUGAAGGAAGAAUUUUUUUAUACUCACAGAUUCCCUGGAAACAAGAGCCACGGCACACCAUACAGGGCCGCAUAGGGGAGAAUUAGGGUCAGUCAGGAGGCAGAGGGAGCAAGGAGAAAGCAUGGGCAAGAACUUUUAUUGUGGUUUUCACAGGAAGGAAUGGGCAAAGCAGGGUAAACAGUCUUAGGAUCGGCUACUUUGAGUAAUUUCAGUGGGCUCUGGAGUGUAGGGGCUGCCCUGAGUAUUCUGGUAUUCCUAGGAAUUAUCUAACCCUGGGAGAAGCAGUCCCUCCCUGGUCAGCAAGGCCCCAGAUGUCAGAGCAUCAAGAAUAUAGAAAGUAAGAAAGUAUAGUUAGUAUGGUAUGGGUUCAGGCAUGCUCACACUUUUUUUUCCCUUCUCUUCCUCCUUCUUCAGCUAAGGUAGACCUUACUCAUUAGGAGAAUCAAGAUUCAGAAGCCCAGAGAGACAAACACUUAAGUAGUUUUUGAAUUACUUCUAUCUGGAUAAACUAUAUAAUAUACCUGUGCAAUUCAAGUCUCAAAUUUAUCUUUUGGUUUAGGUUGUAUUUUCCAUCAUUUUAUUCAUUACUAUAGUGUAAUGAGGCUAGCAGUUCUGAAUAAGGUUAACUUUUAAAAUUGCAUUGGAAAGAUGGAUUACUAAAAAGAGUGUUGCCUAUUCAUCUCAAUUCCACAAUCUCCUUUAAAUAUAAACAUAGGAGUAUGUGUAUUUGUAAAAUAUUCAGUGUAGGUCCUAAGUGGCAACAUAGAACUGCGAUUAGGAGUCAGAUGGCCCAAGUGUUUUUUUUUAAUAUAUAAGUUUCAGGCGUACACCAUUGUAAUUUGACAUAUGUAUGCACUAUGAAGUGAUCCCCACCACAUGUGUAGUUACCAUCCAUCACCAUACAGUUGACCCCCUUCAUCCGUUUUGCCCACCACCCGCCAUGCCCCUUCCUCUCUGGUAACCCUAAUCUGAUCUCUGUAUCUAUGAGUUUGUCUUUGUUUUAUUUUGUUUGUUUGUUUUGUUUUUUGAUUCCACAUAUAUGUGAAAUCAUACAGUAUUUGUCUUUCUUCUGACAUUUCAUUUAGCAUAAUGCCUCCAAGGUCCAUCCAUGUUGUUGCAAAGGGUAGAAUUUUGUUCUUUUUUAAUGGCUGAAUAAUAUUCCAUUGUAUAUAUAGAUGUAGAUAAAGAUAUAGAUACCAUAGCUUUUUAAUUCAUCCAUCAUUGGAAACUUAGGUUGUUUCCAUAUCUUGGCUAUUGUAAAAAUUGCUGCAAUGAACAUACGGUUGCAUAUAUCUUUCUCUUUUUUUUUUUUGCAUAUAUCUUUUUGAAUUAGUGUUUUUGUGUUCUUUGGAUAAAUACCCAGAUGUGGAAUUGUUGGGUCAUAUGAUAGUUCUAUUUUUAAUUUUUUGAGGAAUCUCCAUGCUGUUUUCCAUAGUGCCUGAAGCAAUUUACAGUUCCACCAACAGUGUACGAGGGUUCUCUUUUCUCCACAUCCUCUCCAACAUUUGCUAUUUCUUAUCUUUUCUAUUAUAGCCAUUCUAACAGGUGUGAGGUGAUUUCUUAAUGUGGUUUUGAUUUUCAUUUCCCUAGCAAUUAGUGAUGUUGAGCAUCUUUUCAUGUGCCUGUUGGCCAUCUGUAUGUCUUCUUUGGGAAAAAUGUCUAUUCAGAUCCUCUGCCCAUUUUAAAAUCAAGGUUUUUGUUGUUGUUGUUGUUGAGUUAUAUGAGUUCUUUAUAUAUUUUGGAUAUUAACCCCUUACUGGAUCUAUGAUUUGCAAAUACUUUCUCCCAUUCAGUAGGUUGCCUUUUCAUUUUGAUAAUGGUUUCCUUUGCUGUGCAGAAGCAUUUUAGUUUGAUGUAGUCCCAUCUGUUUAUUUUUGCUUUUGAUUCCCUUGCCUUCGGAAUCGGAUCCAGAUGUUUUAUUACUGUUUCAUUCUCCUUACUAGUAAUUGGUCGCUUCAGAUUUUCUAUUUCUUCAUAAUUCAGUCUUGGAAGAUUGUAUAUUUCUAGGAAUUUAUCCACGUCUUCUAGGUUGUUCAAUUUGCUGCUGUAGAGUUGUUCAUAACAGUCUCUUAUGAUCCUUUGUAUUUCUGUUGUAUCAAUUGUAACUUCUCUUUCAUUUGUGAUUUUAUUUAUCUGAGUCCUCUCUUUCUUUCUUGGUAAGUCUAGCUAAAGGUUUGUCAAUUUUGUUUAUCUUUUCAAAGAACUACCUCUCAGUUUCAUUGAUCUUUCCUGUUGUUUUCUUAGUCUCUAAUUUAUUUCCGCUCUCAUCUUUACUAUUUCCUUCCUUCUACUAAUUUGGGGCUUUGUUUGUUCUUCUUUUUCUAGUUUCUUUAGGUGUAAAGUUAGAUUGUUUAUUUGGAGUUUUUAUUGUUUCCUGAGAUAAGCCUAUAUUGCUAUGAACUUCCCUUUUAGAACUGUUUUUGCUGCAUCCUAUAGAUUUUGGUAUGUCAUUUUUCUGUUUUCAUUUGUCUCCAGGUAUUUUUUAAUUUCUCCUUUGAUUUCUUCAAUGACCCAUUAGAUGUUCAGUAGCAUGUUGUUUAAUAUCCAUGUUUUCGUGUUUUUUCCCAUUUUUUUCUUGUGAUUGACUUCUACUUUUGUACCAUAGUGGUUGGAGAAGAUGCUUGAUAUGAUUUCAGUCUUCUUGAAUUUAUUGAGAUUUAUUUUUUGACCUAACAUAUGAUCUAUCCUGGAGAAUGUUCCACAUGCACUUGAGAAGAAUGUAUAUCUGCUGCUUUCGGAUGGAAUGUUCUGUACAUAUCUAUUAAGUUCUUCUGAUCUAAUGUGUUAUUUAAGUCUGAGCUUUCCUUAUUGAUUUUCUGUCUGGUUGAACUAUCCAUUGGUGUAAGUGAAGUGUUAAAGUUACAUACCUUUGUUGUAUUGCUUUCAUUUUUUCCCUUUAAGUCCAUUAAUAUUUGCUUUAUAUAUGUUGGCCUCUGCUGUUGGGUGCAUGUACAUUUAUAAAUGUUAUAUCUUCUUGCUUGAUUGACCUGUUUAUUAUUAUGUAAUGCCCUUAUUCAUCUUUUAUUAAUCUUUGUUUUAAAGUUUAUUUUGUCUGAUAUGACUAUAGCUACUCCAGCUUUCUUUUCAUUUUCAUACACAUGAAUAUAUUUCUCCGUCCCUUCACUUUCAGUCUGUGUCCUUUCUUCUGAAGUGAGUCUCUUGUAUGCAGCACAUAGAUGGGUCUGGUUUUUUUUAAUCCAUUCAGCCACUAUGUCUUUUGAUUGUCAAAUUUAGUCCAUUUUCAUAAAGUUCUUAUUGACAUGUGUGUUAAUUUCAUUAGUAGUUUUCUGACUGUUUUUGUAGUUCCUCUCUGUACCUUUCUUCUCUUUCUCUCUUCCUUUAUGUUUUGGUGGUUUUCUUUAGUGUUAUGUUUCUAUUCCUUUCUCAUUUUCUUUUGGUUAUUUACUAUAGGUUUUCUCCUUGUGGUUACCAUGAGGUUCACAUAGAACAUACUAUGCAAAUAGUAGCCUGUUUUAAGUUGGUAGUGACUAUAAUUUGAACACAUUCCAAAGCUUUAUCUUUCACCCCCUGUAAUGUGAAUGUUAUUCUUCUUCAUGUUGUCCCAAAGGUCCCUUAAAGUAUAUUUACUUUUCUUAAUUCUUUUUAAAUUUUGCUGCUCUGUCUGGGUGAGUUCUAUUGCUUUGUCUUCCAGCUCAUUGAUUUGUUCUUCUACCUCAUCCAGUCUGCUACUGAACCCCUCUAAUGUAUUUUUCAGUUCAAUUGUAACUUUUGUUUGGUACUUUCUUAUGUUUUUUUAUCUCUUUGUUGACGUUCUCACUGUGUUCAUCCAUUCUUCUCCUGAGUUCAGUGAGCAUUUUUAUGACCACUACUUUGAACUCUUUAUCAUGUAGUUUGCUUAUCUCUGUUUCAUUUAGUUCUUUUUCUGAGUUUUUUGUCUUGUUCUUUUGAUUGGAACAUAUUCUUUUGUGUCCUUAUUUUGCCUAAUUUUCUGUGUUUGUUUCUAUAUAUUAGGUAAAUCAGUUCUCCCAGUCUCAAAGGAGUAGCCUUAUUUAGGAGAUGUUCUGUGGGGCUCAGAGGCACAAUCCCACCUGGCCACAAGAGCCAGGUGCUCAGGGGGUGUCCCCUAUAUGGGCUGCAUACACCCUCCUGUUGUGUUGGGGUGUGGCUAUUGCUGUGGCAUGCUGAUGGACUGGGCUGGACCCUGGACUGGCUGCAGGGCCUGGCCGUGGCCAUUCCAAGUAUUAAUCCCAGCUCCAAACCUUAUUAGCUGUGUGACUUUGGACUGGUUAUUUAGCAUCUCCAAGUCUUUGUUUUCUCACCUAUGAAAUGGGGUGAUAACAAAAAGUACCUAUCAAAUGAUUUGUUGUGAGAAUUAAGUGUGAUGUUGAUAAAGUGCUUAGGAAGUACAUGGCAUGUAGAAUGAUCAAGAGAUUAAUCCAUUGUUAUACUUCAGUGAUUCUUACAAAAUGUACUUAUGGAUUGACUAUGAGACCAGUUUUGUUAAAAAGGUAAAAGUUGUUUAUGGAAUUGAUUCUGCUGUAGGAAAUACAUUGUAUUUGACAUAGAAAUUACAGCAAAAGACACAAUUUUUAAAAGACAUGAAAUUUUGGAGAAGGGCUUAGAUUGCAUUCUUCUGAUUUGUUCAUUAAACUUCAUUUUUCCAUUUAAAAUCUUCAAA